UCGAGCGAGCUUGCCUAGAUGAUUUUAGUGCUUGCACUAAAUGAAACUAGAUACAAGCGAGCGGCGGACGGGUGAGUAACACGUGGGUAACCUGCCCAAGAGACUGGGAUAACACCUGGAAACAGAUGCUAAUACCGGAUAACAACACUAGACGCAUGUCUAGAGUUUGAAAGAUGGUUCUGCUAUCACUCUUGGAUGGACCUGCGGUGCAUUAGCUAGUUGGUAAGGUAACGGCUUACCAAGGCAAUGAUGCAUAGCCGAGUUGAGAGACUGAUCGGCCACAUUGGGACUGAGACACGGCCCAAACUCCUACGGGAGGCAGCAGUAGGGAAUCUUCCACAAUGGACGAAAGUCUGAUGGAGCAACGCCGCGUGAGUGAAGAAGGGUUUCGGCUCGUAAAGCUCUGUUGGUAGUGAAGAAAGAUAGAGGUAGUAACUGGCCUUUAUUUGACGGUAAUUACUUAGAAAGUCACGGCUAACUACGUG
rnacentral:rRNA from 1 species